rnacentral:rRNA from 1 species
AUUGAACGCUGGCGGCAGGCUUAACACAUGCAAGUCGAGCGGGGGAAGGUAGCUUGCUACCGGACCUAGCGGCGGACGGGUGAGUAAUGCUUAGGAAUCUGCCUAUUAGUGGGGGACAACAUCUCGAAAGGGAUGCUAAUACCGCAUACGUCCUACGGGAGAAAGCAGGGGAUCUUCGGACCUUGCGCUAAUAGAUGAGCCUAAGUCGGAUUAGCUAGUUGGUGGGGUAAAGGCCUACCAAGGCGACGAUCUGUAGCGGGUCUGAGAGGAUGGUCCGCCACAAUGGGACUUGGACACGGCCCAGACUCCUACGGGAGGCAGCAGUGGGGAAUAUUGGACAAUGGGGGGAACCCUGAUCCAGCCAUGCCGCGUGUGUGAAGAAGGCCUUAUGGUUGUAAAGCACUUUAAGCGAGGAGGAGGCUACUUUAGUUAAUACCUAGAGAUAGUGGACGUUACUCGCAGAAUAAGCACCGGCUAACUCUGUGCCAGCCGCCGCAGUAA